GAUUUAAAAAAAAAAAAAUGGUUCAUCGAAAGCUUUGUUUCUGUAGAUGCUGGGGGUGCUUAGUUUGAAACCCAGUGCGCAGUAAGAAAUGGUCAAUUUAACCGUUGUGUGAGUGUCACCUAAGUGGGCUGUCAACCCUGCAUGCGUCGAAGGUAGUGCGAGCGGCGGCCGCUAGGGGCGCUGCGGCAGCCAGCAGGCGUCAGCCUGUCCCGUUGCGCACAGAUUAGUUGGCGCUCGGCGGCGCUUGGUUGAGGUUGUUGGUGCGAGGUGUGGUGUGGUGUGGUGUGGUGCGGUGCUGUGCUGUACCGAAACACGCAGCGCCAUGAGCUUCACCAUGACAUUACCGACAGCUUUGGUCAUCACCAUGGCGACGCUCGGCUGUGCGCCCAGUGCUGGUGGCACGACCAACCUCACGGGAUACUUCGACUCCCCCUUCAGCGAGGCCAAAACGUCCAACAACUAUAAUUCCUCAUCCAGCUUCAAUCCUCUCGGAAUGGGUCAUCUCUACUACGUCACUAAUUAUUUCAUUGACCUGGUCGUCAAGAAAGAUUUACUACCGGAAGGUUCAAAGAAGCAUAUUGAGUCAUUGCUCCGAAGUGCAGUAGGCCCACCUCGUGCGAACUCAAUUAUUCGUUUUGACAGCAGAUACAUAGAAGAGGACCAGUUUUAUCUUGAUUGGGCACAUCUGCAGCCAUUGUUGAGCUUCCAUGCUGGCACAUUAGCAGUGGUUAGUGUGGGUUUGCUGUUUGCUCUGGUGAUGCCCUUAGCUGGACUCAUCCUCUGUUGCUGCCGAUGUUGCCGUUCUUCACGACGCCCCCGAACUGAAAAGCACAGAGAUGGAUGCCGGCGUUUAUUAUAUGGUACAUUAUUGGCAGCUGUUGCAACAAUAAUAUUGUUCGGUGUUGUCUGUGCAUUUGUUACAAAUGCGUACAUGGAAAAUGGAAUUAAAGCUUUGCCCAGGAAGUUAAAUACUGCAUUGGACGACUCUCAGUUGUAUUUCACAAAUACAAAACUGGAAGUCAGCACUUUGUUGGUAACAAAUUAUGAAGAGCUUCAGGAAACAGUCAGCAAAGCUUUGAGUUCCUGUGGAAAGUUACUGGCAAGUGAGCUUGCAGAAGAAUCCCAGGCUGUGGUUUUAUCUAAUCUCACUCUGUUGGUGGCUGAUCUCCCAGUUGUUCAAGCGGAACUUAAGAAAACUCAAGAACUUACGAAGUCAUUACAGAGCAGUGCAGUUCAACUCCAGCGUGAAUUAUCAGAAAUUCGAGCAGAUUUGGAGGAAAUGCUGAAAAACUGUAGUACCAAGCCUGCCUGUCAAAAUGCUAUCACAAGUCAGAAUAUACAAAAUCUUAAUACUACAGCAGAUUUUACGAAUCUACUUGACAGAUACUUUCCAAAGCUACCUAACAUGAAUGAGAGCCUGGAUGCUGUUGAAGAAUUAUUAGCAGACGGUAUUAUAGAAAAUGUAAAAAAAGGAGCAAACUCCUUUGAACAAAUGAUGAUAGAUAUAAAUGAAUCUGUGAAUAACAGUAAACUGGAUAUAGAAAAAACCAUGAGAGAUGCAGGUGCUGCUAUUCAGGAUAAAGCUGACAAAAUUUCAAAAAUGGUUGAGAAACUUAAUGAUGAGAUUAAUGAUAGUGUAAGAAAACCUAUUACCAAUAAUUUGCAAAAGGGAAUCGAUGAUUACAGCCGAUACAGAUACUACAUUGACAUAUCUGUGAGUUCAGUGGUACUUGUAGUAUUGCUGUGUAUGACACUGGGACUUUUUUAUGGUUUUUGUGGCAAACGACCUGACGCCAUGUUCAAUGAAGAUUGUUGUAACAAAGGCACUGGUGCAAGUUUCUUAAAACUAGCUGUGUGGGUUAUGUUCCUGUUCUCAACAGUUUUAAUGCUGGUAACCUUAGCACACUUUGUGGUUGGAGUAGUACUCCAGCGAGCAGGUUGCGAUACACUACAAAAUCCUGAGGACAGCCAAGUAUUUGCACUGAUUGAUAAGCAUGUGGAUGUCGCUAGUAUAUUUCCAUCCAAUUCUAGUAACAUUACCCUAAGCUCUAUCGUAAUGUCAUGUCAUAUGAAUGAGAGUUUGUUUGGAGUACUUCGAGUAUUGGAUGCUGUAAAUAUAGCAGAGAUUAAGAAUUUUUCAGAGAAGUACAGGAUUGAGGAAAAAAUCCGUGCCUUGGAGGGCAGCAUAAAAAUUGGUGAUGAUGUAAAUUUUGUUAUACUGGAUGAAAAUACCAGAAAAGAUCUUGAGAGUUUAAAAAACUCUCCACUCAAUUAUAUUAAUUUCACAGCAUUUUCUUCUGUGCUGGGCGCCCAGAUUGUUGCAGCAAAUGUUACGAAAUUGGCAAAGACACUGAAUGACACUGCAGAUGAUCUCUCAAGGAACCCUGGUGGUAAUAUAACAAAAAUUCAGGAUUCACUGAGGAAACAUUCUGCCCAACUUGUGAUUCUCCAGACAACAACUAUAGAUCCAAUGACUGCCCAAGUAAAUUAUCUCAUUGCCACAACUACUUCACUUCAGGAACACCUUAAAUUUAAUCAUAAUUCGUUAUCUGAUGCCAUUGAUUCUCUUCUUAAAGAAAUUGAUGAAGCACAGAUAUAUCUGGAAACUAAUGCAACACAGAAGAUUCAAGAGCUAACGGAAAGUUUGAUAAAUGAAUUUGUGACUUAUAUUAAGAGCUAUGAGACGCGUGUUGUGCAGUUCACUGUCAAUGAUCUUGGACGAUGUGGGCCAGUAAGCAAGGCCUAUAAUGCAACAGUAGUGGCGACAUGUGAUGAAAUCCUUAAACCAUUUAAUGGGUUCUGGGCAAGCAUUGGAUGGUGCCUACUGCUGUUCAUUCCAGCCAUUGUAAUCAGUUUGAAGCUGACUGGUCUAUAUCAUAAGUUGGAUCCAUAUCAAGGACCUCUUGCAGAAUCUGAGUACUUAUACGAUGCAUAUGCUGAUCGGGAUAAUAUUCCACUCGCCAAUGGCCCUGAUAAAAAGAACCAUCAUCGCCGCUAUAAUGAAACAUAUGAUAAUUCAAGUGGUUACAUGGGUGACUACAAUACGCAUCUAGGACGUGGUGAUCGAAGCAGAGAUCGUACAUCAGCAGGCUACAGCCCUGAAGAUCUCAGAUUUACAGAUAUGGCUCCAAAACACUGGGACUUCUCUAACGGGGGUGUGCCUCGCUACCACAGUCCUCCUCUGUCUACUGAGUAUGAGCGUCCUCCUCCAUAUUACUACCCUGGCCCAGGGCAUUACUGGUGAAGAUUGUCAGGGGAUGAGAGAAGAUAAGUCCAGCAGCCCCAGAGCCAUCUCAAAAGAGAAGGGAUAUUGCCAAGGAAAAGAAACUUAGCCAUUUAAUGUCUGCUGUGGGUGGCCAUGGCACAGAACAGAAGAGAGAGAGUUUUUUGGCUGCAGCUCCGAGAGUCCUCAGUCUCCCAAGUCAGUGACAGCAGCAGAAGAUAAGCUGUACACACAAGAGAAAAACAUUUUUAAUUCCUGUGAUUGUUUCAUCCUCUGUAGCUCAAGUAGCUCCAGCUUUGUGGGCAGAGUGAGCACAAUAAAGUCCAUGUAUCAUUACUGUAUUUUCAGAAGUUUUUAAUAUCUUAUUGUUGCAUUCAAAACUGUGAUUCUGCAGGACAUGCAUUGCAUUAUUUUUAAAACAUGAACAAAGUGAUAUGUACAAAUUUGCCUCAGUGUAGCUGAUAAAUAGGAUUAGUUAAAUAAAUGUUCUGAACUCUGAAAUGAAAUGUUAAAUGUAUGUUAUAUUUUAAUGCAUUGCGUGUUAAUUUUCUUUUUAUAUAUUUGAGGAAAACUGCUGAUGGUGUAUUUGCAGAAAAUGAGUGUCUAUGAAGUAAAAUGGAGUAGCUGGAGAAAAAAAAAAAUCUUGUCAACAAAGCACCAAUAAUCUUUACUGAACUUUUCAAGUGCUAUAAUGUUAAAUUGUUUGACAACCUUUGAAAUGUUCACAUUUUCAUGGCUAAUAAAUUCUGCUGAAGAAAUAAUUUUCAGAGUUCUGGCAUGAAAACAAAAGAGAAGUAGUCAUAGACAGAACAUGCCACUUGAAUAAAACAUUCCUUUUGAAUAGAUAAUAGUAUUCAUUUCCACAUUCAUUACCCAUGAAACAUAAACAGGGGAUUUUCAACUGAAAUAGGAAAUUUAUACUAAUUUACCAUGCCAGCAAAUUAUAUCAGUAUUAUCAUUUUAUUUUGACGCACUUGUUAGUAACAAACCUCUAAACAACAGAAAUUAUUGUGCAUUUAAAACUUAUAAGUCUGUGCCACUCAUGUGAAGUACAUACAAUUUUGUAUGACUGUUAAGUUCAUUUCAUCACAUUUUUAAGUUGUAAAGCUUUUGACUAUUAAUAUUCACUUAAGUGCAAAAUAAAUGUAUUAAUAUAGCCAUAGUCCACUGAAAUCAGCCAUUUUAUUUUCAAUGUAUUUGAAUUCAAUUGCUCAUAAAUUUGUAAUUUAUUUGUUGUAACUGAGAUCCAUUUGUAUACGUGGACCUUACAAGAGGUGUUGUUGGAAUACAUAUUGUAUUAAAGACUGAUGACUGGAAUGGGCAUUUGAGUUUGCAUCUUUUAUGAAGUAAUUAUUAAUCUUUGUGUUCCUUGCUGCUUGCAGUAAAUUGUGAUGAAAUUCAUAUUGUACUUUCAUAAUAGUAAAGUCAUUAUGUGUUGCUAUUUAUGUUAGACAUACAAGCCAUAUAUCUGUGUGCACAAAGAGGAUAGUGACAAUAUCUAUUUUACCCUUGUACACAAUGUGCCAUUGAUACUGAAUAAACAUUUAUAGUUUUUUAAGACUAGUUAUUAAUGAUAUAGAAUAGGUUUUGUUUGUAUUUGUUGUUUCAUGAGCAUUUUAAUGUUUUUGUUGAAAGCUGCUGACAUAGUCAAACAGUUCUUGAUGAAGUAUCUGCUAUUUUUUCAAAAACUGAAACAGUGAAAUAUAACUGUUUGUAGUCUUCAUUAUUCAGUUAAGAUUGUUGGUGAAGACCCGUUAUUUCAGUAUUUUAAUAUUCCUCUGUGAGUAGUUUGAUAUUGCAUCACAUUAAAUUCUGUUUUUAUUAAUAGAUGCAUGUCAAAUGCAAGUGCAAACCAAAAAAGAAAUUUGUUAUUUUCUCAUUGUAUGAACUAAUGAGAAAGUGGAAACUUAAUAUUUGAUAAAAAUACAUAAUCUACAUUUUUUUGAAA